rnacentral:rRNA from 1 species
UACGGAGGGUGCAAGCGUUGUUCGGAAUUACUGGGCGUAAAGCGCACGUAGGCGGCUUUGCAAGUUAGAGGUGAAAGCCCGGGGCUCAACUCCGGAAUUGCCUUUAAAACUGCAUCGCUAGAAUUGUGGAGAGGUAAGUGGAAUUCCGAGUGUAGAGGUGAAAUUCGUAGAUAUUCGGAAGAACACCAGUGGCGAAGGCGACUUACUGGACACAUAUUGACGCUGAGGUGCGAAAGCGUGGGGAGCAAACAGG